rnacentral:rRNA from 1 species
AACGAACGCUGGCGGCAGGCCUAACACAUGCAAGUCGAGCGCUGUAGCAAUACAGAGCGGCGCACGGGUGAGUAACACGUGGGAACGUGCCCUUCGGUUCGGAAUAACUCAGGGAAACUUGAGCUAAUACCGGAUACGUCCUUUGGGAGAAAGAUUUAUCGCCGAGGAGCGGCCGCGUAGGAUUAGCUAGUUGGUGAGGUAAUGGCUCACCAAGGCUCCGAUCCUUAGCUGGUUUGAGAGAACGACCAGCCACACUGGGACUGAGACACGGCCCAGACUCCUACGGGAGGCAGCAGUGGGGAAUCUUGGACAAUGGGGAAACCCUGAUCCAGCCAUGCCGCGUGAGUGAUGAAGGCCUUAGGGUUGUAAACUCUUUCGGCGGGACGAUAAUGACGGUACCGCAGAAGAAGCUCCGGCUAACUU